GUGAGGAAUAUUGCGCAAUGGAGGCAACUCUGACGCAGCCAUGCCGCGUGCAGGAAGAAGGCGCUACGCGUUGUAAACUGCUUUUAACCGGGAAGAAACCCCAGGACGUGUCCUGGGUUGACGGUACCGGAGGAAUAAGCACCGGCUAACUUCGUGCCAGCAGCCGCGGUAAUACGAAGGGUGUAAGCGUUAUCCGGAUUCAUUGGGUUUAAAGGGUGCGUAGGCGGAGCGUUAAGUCAGUGGUGAAAUCCUGCAGCUUAACUGUAGACUUGCCAUUGAUACUGGCGCUCUUGAGUGCGCUUGAAGUGGGCGGAAUGUGCCGUGUAGCGGUGAAAUGCUUAGAUAUGGCACAGAACACCAAUUGCGAAGGCAGCUCACUAAGGCGAUACUGACGCUGAGGCACGAAAGCGUGGGGAUCGAACAGGAUUAGAAACCCGUGUAGUCC
rnacentral:rRNA from 1 species